CGGACCAGACUCCUACGGGAGGCAGCAGUGAGGAAUAUUGGACAAUGGCGCAAGCCUGAUCCAGCCAUGCCGCGUGCAGGAUGACGGUCCUAUGGAUUGUAAAACUGCUUUUGCACAGGAAGAAACAACGCUACGUGUAGCGUCUUGACGGUACUGUGAGAAUAAGGAUCGGCUAACUCCGUGCCAGCAGCCGCGGUAAUACGGAGGAUCCAAGCGUUAUCCGGAAUCAUUGGGUUUAAAGGGUCCGUAGGCGGUCUAGUAAGUCAGUGGUGAAAGCCCAUCGCUCAACGGUGGAACGGCCAUUGAUACUGCUAGACUUGAAUUAUUAGGAAGUAACUAGAAUAUGUAGUGUAGCGGUGAAAUGCUUAGAGAUUACAUGGAAUACCAAUUGCGAAGGCAGGUUACUACUAAUGGAUUGACGCUGAUGGACGAAAGCGUGGGUAGCGAACAGGAUUAGAUACCCUGGUAGUCCACGCCGUAAACGAUGGAUACUAGCUGUUGGGAGCAAUCUCAGUGGCUAAGCGAAAGUGAUAAGUAUCCCACCUGGGGAGUACGUUCGCAAGAAUGAAACUCAAAGGAAUUGACGGGGGCCCGCACAAGCGGUGGAGCAUGUGGUUUAAUUCGAUGAUACGCGAGGAACCUUACCAAGGCUUAAAUGUAGAUUGACCGGUUUGGAAACAGACUUUUCGCAAGACAAUUUACAAGGUGCUGCAUGGUUGUCGUCAGCUCGUGCCGUGAGGUGUCAGGUUAAGUCCUAUAACGAGCGCAACCCCUGUUGUUAGUUGCCAGCGAGUCAUGUCGGGAACUCUAACGAGACUGCCAGUGCAAACUGAGAGGAAGGUGGGGAUGACGUCAAAUCAUCU
rnacentral:rRNA from 1 species